GCUGUGCUGCUCCUCUCAGCCAGUGCGCCGCCGCGGCGCCCCCCCUCAGGGCAGCACGCCGCAGUGCCGCCCCUCUCACCCCUGGGUGCCGCCGUGCCGCCCUUUCACCCCUGCGCGCCGUCGCGCCGCCCUUCUCACCCCUGCGCGUCGCCCCCUCUAACCCUAGUGCGGCCACCCAUGGAUCCCCUACCGCCGCUUGUUUCCAGGACGCAGCAGACAACCACCCACCCGAGCUCAAACGGCCGGACGCGCUAGCUCGAACUGCCGCACGUCAUCCCUUGAACAGUCGGGCCUACUGUUCACUGAGCUGGCAGUCCCCUGGCCUCUGUCCGUCAGCGCGGCUCGUGGGCUCCUCUCUUCCAGAAACAUGACAAGGUACCAUGAGGGCGUCGAGACCAGGCAGAACGCCGCUCAUGGUUUCACUGUGCCUGCUCUUCUGCCCCAUCAGGAACGCCGCUCACACACUCACUAAGGAACUGAUACCUAGUUGAGUAUCAGCGCCAGUCUGUCGCCGGCCUGUGCUAGUCUCUUCUCCACAACCGGGUACCAGAGCCAAAUCCUAGCGCGCCCAGCCGCUGCUCGUGAACCCCGCCUCCAUCAGCUCCACUUCACCAAAGCCGUCAGUCCACGGGAAUAGGGGUAGCGGAUCCCCUAUAGCGGCCAAAUCCCGGUGCACCCAGCCGCUGCUCAUGAACCCCGCCUCCAUCAGCUCCACUUCACCGGAGCCGUCAGUCCACAGGAGUAGGGGUAGCAGGUUCACCUGACGUCCGACGCCUUCUUCCAUCUCCAAAAAUCUUGUUUUUUGAGUUUAGUUCUUCGUCACAUGUUUCACUAGCUGAAAAAUGCAUGGUGUUCUGAAAUUGCUUGCGGACCACUAGCUGAAAUUGCUUGACGAAUAGAGCAAAGGGCCCAAACCCACUGUCAUGCAAGAAAAAGAAAGCAAAGCCCCAACCAUCAGCUGCUCAAUCAUCAGAACUGAUAGUAAGAUGGAGAAGAGGUAAUGCAACAAAAAUCUUGGAUAGGGCAGUGAAGUCCAUUGCGCAUUCUUGUUUUUUGAAGCUCCGGACAUCAGUUGUAUUGAGACAUGGAUGGCUCUACACCUGAAGCACAUAUUUGACAAGCAUGAUCACAUGUUCCCUUCACGGUCUGAUGGCCGAUGGAGAGGCGAAGCGAAAGACGGUUAAGAAGUGCAAGAGAAGUGGCAAAGAUAGCAGGUCCAUGUGUAUUUAACAGCAAGUCCAUGUAUUACUACAUGAGAAGUACUGCUAUUCCCUCACUGGAUUUGCAGGCUCACGACCAUCCUCUAACACCCCGUCAGUGCCACUGAUUAGAAGGAGCUCCGUGAGCAUGUACUUCUCCUGUUCGACCUCGACGCUUGUGGCAGUCCCACAAGGACGAGUGUGGUCUAUGAUCAAGCUGUUGGUUCCCAAGCAAGUUCCUGGCUGAAGGUGGGCUUCCACGUUGAGGUGUGGAACGCAAUGUACAUGGAGAUCCCGAUGGAGUACGAUGAUGGCAAUGUGGCGCAGGUGGACCUCAUGGAGUUUGGCUGGGCUGGCGGCGGUCGGCGCUGGACGCAGGUGCAUGAGUUGUGGGGCUCCAUCUGCCGGUCGACCACCGCUUACUCCCACUCUGUUCACUGGUUUUGUUUUCACUGUCACGCCUAUUCCUCGUCGACCUGCAGCAGCAGGAGACACGAGAUCACCUCCGGCACCGCUGGUCACAUGAAGGUCGUCAAAAAUGGUACAUUCUCCAUAAAACACGAGAGAGGUUUGGACGGACGCUGUCACUAGCUCACUAUGACGCCGCGGAUCACUAGCACGAAGGACACCGCCAGGUUGAGGAUGAAGUACAUGAGGCAGACAAUGAGGACGUCCAAAACAUGGAAUCCAUACACAUAGCACUAACU